rnacentral:rRNA from 1 species
CCUACGGGUGGCAGCAGUGGGGAAUAUUGCACAAUGGGGGAAACCCUGAUGCAGCGACGCCGCGUGAGUGAAGAAGUAUUUCGGUAUGUAAAGCUCUAUCAGCAGGAACGAGACAAGACGGUACCUGACUAAGAAGCCCCGGCUAACUACGUGCCAGCAGCCGCGGUAAUACGUAGGGGGCAAGCGUGAUCCGGAAUCACUGGGUGUAAAGGGAGCGUAGACGGCUGUGCAAGCCUGAAGUGAAAGGCGGGGGCCCAACCCCUGGACUGCUUUGGGAACUGUACGGCUGGAGUACAGGAGAGGUAAGUGGAAUUCCUAGUGUAGCGGUGAAAUGCGUAGAUAUUAGGAGGAACACCAGUGGCGAAGGCGGCUUACUGGACUGUAACUGACGUUGAGGCUCGAAAGCGUGGGGAGCAAACAGGAUUAGAUACCCUGGUAGUC